GACGAACGCUGGCGGCGUGCUUAACACAUGCAAGUCGAACGGUAAGGCCCUGCUUUUGUGGGUUGCUCGGGUGGCGAAGGGGAGAGUAACACGUGAGUAACCUACCCUGCACUUUGGUAUAGCUUAACCAAACGAAGGCGUGUCCAAGACAGGAUAUCCUGCUGCUGUGGGGGGGUGGGUCUGGUUCGGCGGUUGGGGCGGGGCUGGCGGGUUAUGAGGUUGUUGGUGGGGUUGGUGCUGACCAGGGCUUCGACGGGUAGCCGGCCUGAGAGGGUGACCGGCCCCACUGGGACUGAGACACGGCCCAGAAUCCUACGGGAGGGAGCAGUGGGGAAUAGUGCAAAACGGGCGGACGCCUGAUGCAGCAACGCCCCGUGGGGGAUGAACGCCUUCGGGUUGUAAACCGCUUUCGCCUGUGAUGAAGCGUGAGUGACGGUAACGGGUAAAGAAGCACCGGCUAACUACGUG
rnacentral:rRNA from 1 species